GGGUUUUUAGCCAGGUUAACCUAAUUAAAUCAAAAUUAAGAAAUUCAAUAAGCCUCGCCACGACUAACAGCAUUCUAAGCAUAAGAAACGGAUUACGAAGGAUGGGAAAAUGCUGCGUCGACUAUGAAGUG